rnacentral:tRNA from 1 species
GCGGAAGUUGCCAAGAUUGGUCAAAGGCGCAAGGCUUAGGACCUUGUCCUAAGUGGUUCAUGGGUUCAAAUCCCAUUUUCCGCA